rnacentral:tRNA from 1 species
GCCGGUUUGGCUCAGUGGAUAGAGCUUCAGCCUGUGGACUGAAGGGUCCCAGGUUCGAUUCCUGGGUAUGUCA